CACAGUAGUAAUAGCAGUCACACAGCAGUCAUAGUAGUCACACAUUAGUCAUAGUAGUCACACAGUAGUCACAUAGUAGUCACACAGCAGUCAUAGUAGUCACACAGUAGUCAUAGUAGUUACACAGUAGUCAUAGUAGUGAACUGGUAGUUACUCAGUAGUCAUACAGUAGUCAGACAGCAGUCACACAGUAGUCAGACAGUAUAGUCAUAGUAGUGAACUGGUAGUUACUCAGUAGUCAUGCAGUAGUCAGACAGCAGUCACACAGUAGUCAGAGAGUAGUCAGACAGUAGUCACAUAGCAGUGAACUGGUAGUUACUCAGUAGUCAUGCAGUAGUCAGACAGCAGUCACACAGUAGUCAGAGAGUAGUCAGACAGUAGUCACAUAGCAGUGAACUGGUAGUUACUCAGUAGUCAGACAGCAGUCACACAGUAGUAAGACAGUAGUCAGACAGUAGUCACAUAGCAGUGAACUGGUAGUUACUCAGUAGUCAUACAGUAGUCAUACAGUAGUCAGACAGUAGUCAGACAGUAGUCACAUAGCAGUGAACUGGUAGUUACACAGUAGUCAUACAGUAGUCAGAUAGUUGUCACAUAGCAGUCACUCAGCAGUCACACAGUAGUCAGACAGCAGUGACAUGGUAGUUACUCAGUAGUCAUACAGUAGUCACAGGGUAGUCACAUUGUAGUCGCAUAGUGGUCAUACAGUAGUCACAUCUAAUACACAAAGUGAAGGUGCAUGGUCCACACUCACAAGCACUGCCUUCCUGCCUUUAGUCUAAAACCGUUAUAAAGUUCAGGCAACGCAAGUGAGACCAGUACUGUGUCCCAGAUGGCACCCUAUCCUCUUUUUAGUGCACUACAUUUGACCAGAGCUACAGUACUUUAGGGCCCUGGCCAAAAGUAGUGCACUAAAAAGGAAUAGGGUGCCAUUUGGGGUGCAGACCUCUCAGAACAUGGUGCCCAGUAGAUGUUUUAAUCAGUUUCCUCCUCCUGCAUGAUUUAUGUUGUUCUGUCUCUGCCAGGACUGUUUCUGUUUCCUGAGCUCUGCACUAAUCAACCACGCAGCCUCUGUCAGCUCUGCUGUGCCACUGUUUCAGGAGAUGGGGAGAGGUGGUGAUU
rnacentral:lncRNA from 1 species